AACGAACGCUGGCGGCGUGCCUAACACAUGCAAGUCGAGCGCGAAAGGAGCAAUCCGAGUAGAGCGGCGCACGGGUGCGUAACACAUGGAUAAUCUGCCUCAGGGUUGAGGAUAACCUUCCGAAAGGUUGGCUAAUACUCGGUAAGCUUACGGUGACUUCGGUCGCUGUGAGAAAACUAGACCUCUAUUUAUAAGUUUAGGCCCAGAGAUGAGUCCGCGGCCCAUCAGCUAGUUGGCGGGGUAACGGCCCACCAAGGCUACGACGGGUAGCUGGUCUGAGAGGACGAUCAGCCACACUGGAACUGAGACACGGUCCAGACUCCUACGGGAGGCAGCAGUGGGGAAUUUUCCACAAUGGGCGAAAGCCUGAUGGAGCAACGCCGCGUGUGUGAUGAAGGUCUUCGGAUCGUAAAGCACUUUCGACUGGGACGAAAAACCUUUGGCUAACAUCCAGGGGCCUGACGGUACCAGGAGAGGAAGCACCGGCUAACUCUGUGCCAGCCGCCGCAGUAAAAC
rnacentral:rRNA from 1 species